UACGAAGGGGGCUAGCGUUGUUCGGAAUCACUGGGCGUAAAGCGUAUGCAGGCGGAUUGUUAAGUCGGGGGUGAAAUCCCGAGGCUCAACCUCGGAACUGCCUUCGAUACUGGCAAUCUUUGAGUCCGGGAGAGGUGAGUGGAACUCCGAGUGUAGAGGUGAAAUUCGUAGAUAUUCGGAAGAACACCAGUGGCGAAGGCGGCUCACUGGCCCGGUACUGACGCUGAGAUACGAAAGCGUGGGGAGCAAACAGG
rnacentral:rRNA from 1 species